AAUCUGGCUCAGGAUGAACGCUAGCGACAGGCUUAACACAUGCAAGUCGAGGGGCAGCACAGGUAGCAAUACCGGGUGGCGACCGGCGCACGGGUGAGUAACGCGUAUGCAACUUACCUAUCAGAGGGGGAUAACCCGGCGAAAGUCGGACUAAUACCGCAUGAAGCAGGGGUCCCGCAUGGGGAUAUUUGCUAAAGAUUCAUCGCUGAUAGAUAGGCAUGCGUUCCAUUAGGCAGG
rnacentral:rRNA from 1 species